rnacentral:rRNA from 1 species
CCCUUAGACGUUCUGGGCCGCACGCGCGCUACACUGACCAGUGCAACAAGCAUCCGUCCUUGGCCGACAGGCCUGGGCAAUCUUUGAACGCUGGUCGUGAUGGGGAUAGACUUUUGCAAUUUUUGGUCUUCAACGAGGAAUUCCUAGUAAACGCAAGUCAUCAACUUGCAUUGAUUACGUCCCUGCCCUUUGUACACACCGCCCGUCGCACCUACCGAUUGAAUGGUCCGGUGAAGCCUCCGGAUUGGCGCGCACCUCGGUGCCGCCGAGAAGUUGGCUAAACCUUACCAUUUAGAGGAAGGUGAAGUCGUAACA